rnacentral:misc_RNA from 1 species
AACGGGGGGGGCGAGCGUUAUCCGUCGUUGACUGGGCGUAAAGGGUGCGUAGACUGUUUUGUGGUUUGAUUUGUUGCGAAACAUCAGGGCUCAACCUUGGAACGUACAUCUUACACACUUAGCUAGAGGUUAGGAGAAGUAUGCAGUACUUUUGGUGUUAGAGGUGAAAUUCGCAGAUACCAAAGGGACAUCGAUCGGCGAAGGCGGCAUACUCUUAUAAUCUGACGUUGAGGCACGAAAGUAUGGGUAUCAAACGGG